UCAACUAAAAGAAAGAACCAAGUGUUACCGAUUCUUGAAGAUUCAUGCUGGAUGGAUGAUGAAAACUAAGUGCAAAUGGUGACCGAUCACAACCCCAAACUUAUCUCAUUGCUUAUCCUCAAGUGAUGUAAGAGACAACACAGAGGUCAACCAUGGAUUUUCUUCUUUCCACAAUACAACUGAUGAUAUUCGCAACUUAUCUUCCUCCUUCCCGAUUAAACUUCUGGUUCACCCAUUCGAACUAUCCACUGCAUUAUCAUAUCAGAGUGCUCCUUUACCUGCAAACUUCUACACACCACUCACUAAAUCUCUCGGGGUUUAAGUGUUUAGCACUCAUGAUACCAAGGUAUGCAAUAUCAACUCUUAAUUUUUGAAUAGAUUCUACGUUCACUACACAAACCAAAUUCACACACUUUUAGAGGUCUUUCGGGUUGUAACGGGGCUUAGGUACGGUGGGGAUAAACAAGAAAAUGGAUGACAAAGGUUUAAAACUCGGCAUUCAUGUUGUUGCUAUUCUUUGUGCUCAAAUUAUUUUAUGGGGUGUUGUCCAACUUGACUUUUCCACUCAAGUUUUCUUUUGAGUAUCACAUUAAUGCAUGAGUCUUUGACUUAGGCAAGUGCUUAUGCCUCAUUUCUGUUUUUCAUUUCUUUUCUAUUUUUUUUUGGUAGAAGCGGA
rnacentral:lncRNA from 1 species